rnacentral:rRNA from 1 species
GAUGAACGCUGGCGGCGUGCCUAAUACAUGCAAGUCGAGCGAACGGACGAGAAGCUUGCUUCUCUGAUGUUAGCGGCGGACGGGUGGGUAACACGUGGAUAACCUACCUAUAAGACUGGGAUAACUUCGGGAAACCGGAGCUAAUACCGGAUAAUAUUUUGAACCGCAUGGUUCAAAAGUGAAAGACGGUCUUGCUGUCACUUAUAGAUGGAUCCGCGCUGCAUUAGCUAGUUGGUAAGGUAACGGCUUACCAAGGCAACGAUGCAUAGCCGACCUGAGAGGGUGAUCGGCCACACUGGAACUGAGACACGGUCCAGACUCCUACGGGAGGCAGCAGUAGGGAAUCUUCCGCAAUGGGCGAAAGCCUGACGGAGCAACGCCGCGUGAGUGAUGAAGGUCUUCGGAUCGUAAAACUCUGUUAUUAGGGAAGAACAUAUGUGUAAGUAACUGUGCACAUCUUGACGGUACCUAAUCAGAAAGCCACGGCUAACUACGUGCCAGCAGCCGCGGUAAUACGUAGGUGGCAAGCGUUAUCCGGAAUUAUUGGGCGUAAAGCGCGCGUAGGCGGUUUUUUAAGUCUGAUGUGAAAGCCCACGGCUCAACCGUGGAGGGUCAUUGGAAACUGGAAAACUUGAGUGCAGAAGAGGAAAGUGGAAUUCCACGUGUAGCGGUGAAAUGCGCAGAGAUAUGGAGGAACACCAGUGGCGAAGGCGACUUUCUGGUCUGUAACUGACGCUGAUGUGCGAAAGCGUGGGGAUCAAACAGGAUUAGAUACCCUGGUAGUCCACGCCGUAAACGAUGAGUGCUAAGUGUUAGGGGGUUUCCGCCCCUUAGUGCUGCAGCUAGCGCAUUAAGCACUCCGCCUGGGGAGUACGACCGCAAGGUUGAAACUCAAAGGAAUUGACGGGGACCCGCACAAGCGGUGGAGCAUGUGGUUUAAUUCGAAGCAACGCGAAGAACCUUACCAAAUCUUGACAUCCUUUGACAACUCUAGAGAUAGAGCUUUCCCCUUCGGGGGACAAAGUGACAGGUGGUGCAUGGUUGUCGUCAGCUCGUGUCGUGAGAUGUUGGGUUAAGUCCCGCAACGAGCGCAACCCUUAAGCUUAGUUGCCAUCAUUAAGUUGGGCACUCUAAGUUGACUGCCGGUGACAAACCGGAGGAAGGUGGGGAUGACGUCAAAUCAUCAUGCCCCUUAUGAUUUGGGCUACACACGUGCUACAAUGGACAAUACAAAGGGCAGCGAAACCGUGAGGUCAAGCAAAUCCCAUAAAGUUGUUCUCAGUUCGGAUUGUAGUCUGCAACUCGACUACAUGAAGCUGGAAUCGCUAGUAAUCGUAGAUCAGCAUGCUACGGUGAAUACGUUCCCGGGUCU